UAAAAGUCGUAACAAGGUCUCCGUUGGUGAACCAGCGGAGGGAUCAUUACUGAGUUUACGCUCUACAACCCUUUGUGAACAUACCUACAACUGUUGCUUCGGCGGGUAGGGUCUCCGCGACCCUCCCGGCCUCCCGCCUCCGGGCGGGUCGGCGCCCGCCGGAGGAUAACCAAACUCUGAUUUAACGACGUUUCUUCUGAGUGGUACAAGCAAAUAAUCAAAACUUUUAACAACGGAUCUCUUGGUUCUGGCAUCGAUGAAGAACGCAGCGAAAUGCGAUAAGUAAUGUGAAUUGCAGAAUUCAGUGAAUCAUCGAAUCUUUGAACGCACAUUGCGCCCGCCAGCAUUCUGGCGGGCAUGCCUGUUCGAGCGUCAUUUCAACCCUCAAGCUCUGCUUGGUGUUGGGGCCCUACAGCCGAUGUAGGCCCUCAAAGGUAGUGGCGGACCCUCCCGGAGCCUCCUUUGCGUAGUAACUUUACGUCUCGCACUGGGAUCCGGAGGGACUCUUGCCGUAAAACCCCCCAUUUUCCAAGGUUGACCUCGGAUCAGGUAGGAAUACCCGCUGAACUUAAGC
rnacentral:rRNA from 1 species